rnacentral:lncRNA from 1 species
UAAUGACCGAAGCUUCAAGACUUUGACAUGUGUGAAAACAUGAAAUGACCCUUGGCUCUUAUUGUUCUUGCUGGUGUGGUAUGUUCACGGCUGAAAAGAUGGUCAGAAGGGGAAAGGAGGAAGUGAGAAGAAAGAAACAGGGAAAUGACAGAGUGUUGCUCAGUUACCCAGGCUGGAGUGCAAUGGCAUGAUCUUGGCUCACUGCAGCCUCCACCUCCUGGGUUCAAGCGGUUCUCGUGCCUCAGUCUCCCAAGUAGCUGGGAUUACAGACCCUGCAUGUGAUGGAUCAGCUGACACCAUCCAGAUCGGUAAACUGGUUCAUCUGAUCUUGUGCCCUCCACCCAGGAACUGACUCAGCGCAAGAAGACAGCUUCGACUCCUUGUGAUUUCAUCCCUAACCAAUCAGCACUCCUGGCUCACUGGCUUCCCCCAACCCACCAAAUUGUCCUUAAAAACUCUGCUCUCCAAACGCUGGGGGAGACUGAUUUGAGUAAUAAUAAAACCCUGGUCUCCUGCACAGUUGGCUCUGCGUGAAUUACUCUUUCUCUAUUCCAAUUCCCUUAUUUUGGUGAAUUGGCUCUGUCUACGCAGUGGGCAAGGUGAACCCCUUAGGCGGUUACAUGGUUAUUGCCCCUUUUUU